rnacentral:rRNA from 1 species
AGGCAGCAGUAGGGAAUCUUCCACAAUGGGCGCAAGCCUGAUGGAGCAACACCGCGUGAGUGAAGAAGGGUUUCGGCUCGUAAAGCUCUGUUGUUGGAGAAGAACGUGCGUGAGAGUAACUGUUCACGCAGUGACGGUAUCCAACCAGAAAGUCACGGCUAACUACGUGCC